AACAAGCAAAACUCUUCUUAGAUAUUAUAACUUGGGAGAAAAAGCUACUGAUCACAUUGAGAACUGAAAUUAAUAGGGGAGGAAGUGAAAAGAGAAGGACAUAGCUGUUUUAUUUUGUUCACCUAUAGGGCCUUGUAAAAAAUUAACUAGGUUUAAAGGAAAUGUCUUUUGAUAUGUUUUACUUGAAAUAGCAUUCUUACUUCAGUUAAGUAGUACCCAGUGAAGCAAUAACCCAGUAGGACACAAUAUGUCAGAAUCUGCUUAUUCUCCAAGCUCUUAAACAUGCUAAAAAGUCAAAUCCAAGAUGAAAUAUCUGUGCUUUUAUUGAUGAGUGCCCAAUAAACAAGGAA
rnacentral:lncRNA from 1 species